AGUUAAGAGGCUGAUUCAAGAAUGUUCUGCCAUAUUUUUCAUUCUGUCAAACACAACGACAGUGCAGAGAUAAUUAUUCCAAGCCCUGACACCGAUAUUUUUGUAUUAGGCCUUUAUUUCUGGCAUUUUUUAUGUAAUUUAUUUAAUUAAAAAUUGAAAACAAUUAUUUCGGCCAUAUAUGUAUAACUUUAGUAGGCAGGUACUUUAUGUAAUAUUAUAAAAAAAAAUCACUAACCCGAAAUUAUAUUAAAAUAAAAUUCAAAUUCAAAUUCAAAUUCGUUUAUCCAAUCAAACUUAACCUAACCUUAGAGCUAAAUACAUUAGGUGUUGUACAUAUUAUGUUUAGUGAUAGGUAUGUAUCAAUCAUCGGUUCAAGACUGGCAUCUUUGCUAGGUUACCGAGAAGAAACGAAAAUGGCCAAGAACAAGACGACGACAUAAUCUUCGAAGACUUCGCGCGCCUCAGGCUGAAGGGCGCGGACGCUGAUGCUUGAACAUUAUGCUAACAGCGCUCUCUUACUGAACUACAUUCUAUAUUUUGUUAUACCAAACGCACAAUUGUAUCGUACUUUUUGAAUUUUCAUAAACAACAUUGUUCGUUUUGAAAUCCAUCGAAUGACCAUAGACACAAGAAAUAAGUGUUACCAUCCUUAGCGAAAAGUGUUAUAAUCUGUAUUAAAAUAAAAAUGAUGUAUAAAAUCA